rnacentral:rRNA from 1 species
UGAGAGUGGCGAACGGGUGAGUAAUGCGUGACCGACCUGCCCCAUACACCGGAAUAGCUCCUGGAAACGGGUGGUAAUGCCGGAUGCUCCAGUUGAUCGCAUGGUCUUCUGGGAAAGCUUUCGCGGUAUGGGAUGGGGUCGCGUCCUAUCAGCUUGACGGCGGGGUAACGGCCCACCGUGGCUUCGACGGGUAGCCGGCCUGAGAGGGCGACCGGCCACAUUGGGACUGAGAUACGGCCCAGACUCCUACGGGAGGCAGCAGUGGGGAAUAUUGCACAAUGGGCGCAAGCCUGAUGCAGCGACGCCGCGUGAGGGAUGGAGGCCUUCGGGUUGUAAACCUCUUUUAUCGGGGAGCAAGCGAGAGUGAGUUUACCCGUUGAAUAAGCACCGGCUAACUACGUGCCAGCAGCCGCGGUAAUACGUAGGGUGCAAGCGUUAUCCGGAAUUAUUGGGCGUAAAGGGCUCGUAGGCGGUUCGUCGCGUCCGGUGUGAAAGUCCAUCGCUUAACGGUGGAUCCGCGCCGGGUACGGGCGGGCUUGAGUGCGGUAGGGGAGACUGGAAUUCCCGGUGUAACGGUGGAAUGUGUAGAUAUCGGGAAGAACACCAAUGGCGAAGGCAGGUCUCUGGGCCGUUACUGACGCUGAGGAGCGAAAGCGUGGGGAGCGAACAGGAUUAGAUACCCUGGUAGUCCACGCCGUAAACGGUGGAUGCUGGAUGUGGGGCCCGUUCCACGGGUUCCGUGUCGGAGCUAACGCGUUAAGCAUCCCGCCUGGGGAGUACGGCCGCAAGGCUAAAACUCAAAGAAAUUGACGGGGGCCCGCACAAGCGGCGGAGCAUGCGGAUUAAUUCGAUGCAACGCGAAGAACCUUACCUGGGCUUGACAUGUUCCCGACGGUCGUAGAGAUACGGCUUCCCUUCGGGGCGGGUUCACAGGUGGUGCAUGGUCGUCGUCAGCUCGUG